rnacentral:rRNA from 1 species
UACAGAGGGUGCAAGCGUUGCUCGGAAUCAUUGGGCGUAAAGGGCAGGUAGGUGGCCUCGUUUGUCUGGGGUGAAAGCCCAGGGCUUAACCCUGGAAGUGCCCCGGAAACGGCGAGACUGGAGUCUUGGAGAGGGUCGUGGAAUUCCCGGUGUAGCGGUGAAAUGCGUAGAUAUCAGGAGGAACACCUGUGGCGAAAGCGGCGCACUGGACCACAACUGACGCUGAGGCGCGAAAGCUAGGGGAGCAAACAGG